GUAUGGAGCAAGCGUUGUCCGGAUUUACUGGGUGUAAAGGGAGCGUAGAUGGAUGUUUAAGUCAGUUGUGAAAGUUUGCGGCUCAACCGUAAAAUUGCAGUUGAUACUGGAUAUCUUGAGUGCAGUUGAGGCAGGCGGAAUUCGUGGUGUAGCGGUGAAAUGCUUAGAUAUCACGAAGAACUCCGAUUGCGAAGGCAGCCUGCUAAGCUGCAACUGACAUUGAGGCUCGAAAGUGUGGGUAUCAAACAGGAUUAGAUACCCUGGUAGUCCACACGGUAAACGAUGAAUACUCGCUGUUUGCGAUAUACUGCAAGCGGCCAAGCGAAAGCGUUAAGUAUUCCACCUGGGGAGU
rnacentral:rRNA from 1 species